rnacentral:rRNA from 1 species
AUGAACGCUGGCGGCGUGCCUAAUACAUGCAAGUCGAGCGAACGGACGAGAAGCUUGCUUCUCUGAUGUUAGCGGCGGACGGGUGAGUAACACGUGGAUAACCUACCUAUAAGACUGGGAUAACUUCGGGAAACCGGAGCUAAUACCGGAUGAUAUUUUGAACCGCAUGGUUCAAAAGUGAAAGACGGUCUUGCUGUCACUUAUAGAUGGAUCCGCGCUGCAUUAGCUAGUUGGUAAGGUAACGGCUUACCAAGGCAACGAUGCAUAGCCGACCUGAGAGGGUGAUCGGCCACACUGGAACUGAGACACGGUCCAGACUCCUACGGGAGGCAGCAGUAGGGAAUCUUCCGCAAUGGGCGAAAGCCUGACGGGGCAACGCCGCGUGAGUGAUGAAGGUCUUCGGAUCGUAAAACUCUGUUAUUAGGGAAGAACAUAUGUGUAAGUAACUGUGCACAUCUUGACGGUACCUAAUCAGAAAGCCACGGCUAACUACGUG